rnacentral:rRNA from 1 species
GACGAACGCUGGCGGCGUGCUUAACACAUGCAAGUCGAACGGAAAGGCCCUGCUUUUGUGGGGUGCUCGAGUGGCGAACGGGUGAGUAACACGUGAGUAACCUGCCCUUGACUUUGGGAUAACUUCAGGAAACUGGGGCUAAUACCGGAUAGGAGCUCCUGCUGCAUGGUGGGGGUUGGAAAGUUUCGGCGGUUGGGGAUGGACUCGCGGCUUAUCAGCUUGUUGGUGGGGUAGUGGCUUACCAAGGCUUUGACGGGUAGCCGGCCUGAGAGGGUGACCGGCUACAGUGGGACUGGGGAACGGCCCGGACGCAUACGGGAGGCAGCGGUGGAGAAUAUUGCACGAUGGGCGGAGGCCUGAUGCAGCAACGCCGCGUGCGGGAUGACGGCCUUCGGGUUGUAAACCGCUUUCGCCUGUGACGAAGCGUGAGUGACGGUAAUGGGUAAAGAAGCACCGGCUAACUACGU